rnacentral:rRNA from 1 species
AAUGUUCGUUCCGGAACCAAAGUAUUUAUCCGUCCUUUUGAGUCGGGCCCGUCGGUUGGUAUUAGCUAGUUGGUGGGGUAAAGGCCUACCAAGGCGACGAUCCAUAGCUGGUCUGAGAGGAUGAUCAGCCACACUGGGACUGAGACACGGCCCAGACUCCUACGGGAGGCAGCAGUGGGGAAUAUUGGACAAUGGGCGAAAGCCUGAUCCAGCAAUGCCGCGUGAGUGAUGAAGGCCUUAGGGUUGUAAAGCUCUUUUACCAGGGAUGAUAAUGACAGUACCUGGAGAAUAAGCUCCGGCUAACUCCGUG